UACGUAGGGUGCAAGCGUUAAUCGGCAUUACUGGGCGUAAAGGGCUCGUAGGUGGCCAACUAAGUCAGACGUGAAAUCCCUCAGCUUAACUGGGGAACUGCGUCUGAUACUGGAUGGCUUGAGUUUGGGAGAGGGAUGCGGAAUUCCAGGUGUAGCGGUGAAAUGCGUAGAUAUCUGGAGGAAUACCGGUGGCGAAGGCGGCAUCCUGGACCAUUACUGACGCUGAGGCGCGAAAGCUAGGGGAGCAAACGGG
rnacentral:rRNA from 1 species